CGAUAAUUAUUUUUACUACAAUAGAAUAUUUUCAAUAGAAUAUUCCAAAAAAAUGUUGCAAUAGAAGAAGGCCAAUCUUUCAACAAAAAGUUUCAGCCAGGGAAUUAUUAAUAUAUAUUAAAAUAUUACAGGGACUCUAAUAAAAUAUUGUUCAUAUAUGUUGCUUAUUGUUAAAUGAUGGAUUUCUUAUAUUGCAUGAGGACAUUGCUCUUGCAAAAUAGUUUAUUUUUAUUAGCUGUUUAUAAUACUUUUGCUUUAAUAAAUAGCUGGUAAACUGGUGAUUUUUCAUAUGCAUCACACUUUUAAAAAACGAAUAAUAUGAGAGAAGAUAAAAUGAGAAUAACAGAGGAGAAAGUAAAAGCAAUUUGCAAGGCGACUAGGAAAUUUCGCUGUUGCGAAUAUUUCGAUUAAUUAGAAGUUGGAGGAAGAGGAAUCCAUGUGCAGCGAAAUCGCUGGAUUUCCCGGGUUAAAUAACGUCAAAGAGCACCAGACAUUUUACUCUCUAAAGCUUUCUACUUACUUCUCACAUACCAAACUUCAAGCUGUGGCAGAAAAAUUGCAUACGAUAUUCGAUUGAAAUUAUCUUUGCAACCAAGAGCACAUCAUUCGCAGACGAAUUAUGUUUGUAAAUUAAUAGCAUAAAUGCGUGAAGUUCCUUUCUUGUAUUAUAUGUCUAGCUAUGCGAGAAUUACAAUUAGGAUACUUUUAUUAAAUUCGAUUACAUUUUAUCUAAACUGCUGUAUUUUAUCAUAUGUUUUUAUAAUAUAAAUUUUGUCUGCAUUUAGUAACAAAGAUG
rnacentral:lncRNA from 1 species